rnacentral:lncRNA from 1 species
GCUGCGCCCGCCGGUAGUGCGCCUAGAAGCUUCUUGGGCGACCAGGCCAGAUGUGGACAGAUUGGUCUCUGCUUUUGAGGUUCUCUACAGAAUGUGAGCACCACCUCGAGUUGCCCGAGGCUCUACAUAUUUGCAGGAGAUUCUGCCCCACCCCCGACUUGUUCCCGCGGGAAGAAGAGAGGCGGGAUGCAGAAGGCUCAGGUCCUGCGGGCUUCAAGCAGUAGCUCCUGAGUGCUGUCACUCGGCCACUCCCGGGUCCCGCCUACCUUCCCGCCACCGGGGCGGGGACAGACAGGUGCCGCCACAGACUCCUGAAUCCACCGAGCAGGCAGACCCUCCGUGACCCUAGGCCUGGAGGGGAAAUUACUCCUUUAAUUACGUUACUCUCUAGGCCUCUGCUCAUUAAAGGAGGGCUGUAGUAAACAGCCUUUCGCUUGUAGGCUUAGGCAUCUAACAGGUUCUCCUGAACUCUCUCCUCUGUGGACACACUUCUUAAUACAACCUGGAGGUGAUCAGAGGACUUGUGCAGGACCCUACCUCCAUCCCUCUUCUACAUCCCAAGCCUGUUGGUCCUGGGUCCCAGUACAGCCCUCUGCCUUCCCUGUCUCCUAGGAUGGUGAGACACUGAGAGGAGUUGGGGUGGGGGGGCCUGCAUCUGAGAGUAAUCACGCCUCCCCCCAGACACAUAGUGGCCAGUGAGGACCUCAGAGGGGUGGCUCAGGCAGAAUGAGUUUCAUCUGUAAUUAUUACUUUGUUUUGCAUUUUGUUCCUUUUUAUAAAAAUUAAAGCUGUCUGUGCUUUC